GACGAACGCUGGCGGCGUGCUUAACACAUGCAAGUCGAACGAAGAGCGAUGGAAGCUUGCUUCUAUCAAUCUUAGUGGCGAACGGGUGAGUAACGCGUAAUCAACCUGCCCUUCAGAGGGGGACAACAGUUGGAAACGACUGCUAAUACCGCAUACGAUCUAAUCUCGGCAUCGAGGAUAGAUGAAAGGUGGCCUCUACAUGUAAGCUCUCACUGAAGGAGGGGAUUGCGUCUGAUUAGCUAGUUGGAGGGGUAACGGCCCACCAAGGCGAUGAUCAGUAGCCGGUCUGAGAGGAUGAACGGCCACAUUGGGACUGAGACACGGCCCAGACUCCUACGGGAGGCAGCAGUGGGGAAUCUUCCGCAAUGGACGAAAGUCUGACGGAGCAACGCCGCGUGAGUGAUGACGGCCUUCGGGUUGUAAAGCUCUGUUAAUCGGGACGAAAGGCCUUCUUGCGAAUAGUGAGAAGGAUUGACGGUACCGGAAGAGAAAGCCACGGCUAACUACGUG
rnacentral:rRNA from 1 species